GUUUUCGUGGCCUAGUGGUUAGGGCGUCUGUCUUACAUCUUCGAAGUGAUCACAGAAGAUCCCCGGUUCGAUCCCGGGCGAGAACA